UACGUAGGGUCCGAGCGUUGUCCGGAAUUAUUGGGCGUAAAGGGCUCGUAGGCGGUUUGUCACGUCGGGAGUGAAAACUCGGGGCUUAACCCCGAGCCUGCUUCCGAUACGGGCAGACUAGAGGUAUGCAGGGGAGAACGGAAUUCCUGGUGUAGCGGUGAAAUGCGCAGAUAUCAGGAGGAACACCGGUGGCGAAGGCGGUUCUCUGGGCAUUACCUGACGCUGAGGAGCGAAAGUGUGGGGAGCGAACAGG
rnacentral:rRNA from 1 species